CAAAGAUCUCAAGCGAUGAAGAAAUACGCACAAACUGCAUUUGGCUUGAAACAGCUGAUUCUUCCUUCACAGGACGCAAGCUACCAACCGAAUUUGUGGAAGAAACCGAUGUUUUAGAAAUCAAUCAAAGUCAUGACACC